GGUGUCCAAUUUAUAAGUCUGUAAAUUGGGUGAAACGGGAAAUCAGUGAGUUGAAACCCAGUAAUGCUUGGGAGUUGACGAUUCUGAUACUGCCCCCGCAACGGUAAGUGAGAAGAUUUGCUUUUAACUAGUAGAUCUAAUGCUAAAUCAAACAACCACUGUACUAAAGUAUGGGAAGGUGAUCUAGCAGGGAAACCACUCAUGAGUCCGGAGACCGGCCUAUAGCU
rnacentral:ncRNA from 1 species